rnacentral:rRNA from 1 species
UCCAGACUCCUACGGGAGGCAGCAGUGGGGAAUAUUGCACAAUGGGGGAAACCCUGAUGCAGCGACGCCGCGUGAGUGAAGAAGUAUUUCGGUAUGUAAAGCUCUAUCAGCAGGGAAGAAAAUGACGGUACCUGACUAAGAAGCCCCGGCUAACUACGUGCCAGCAGCCGCGGUAAUACGUAGGGGGCAAGCGUUAUCCGGAUUUACUGGGUGUAAAGGGAGCGUAGACGGCGAUGCAAGUCUGAAGUGAAAGGCGGGGGCCCAACCCCCGGACUGCUUUGGAAACUGUAUAUCUUGAGUGCAGGAGAUGUAAGUGGAAUUCCUAGUGUAGCGGUGAAAUGCGUAGAUAUCAGGAGGAACGCCUGUGGCGA